CCAGUGUCUUAAUUCACCAUGCCCGAGCCUCUCGGGACAAGUCUAUGAAUAACAUGUUAGUAAUGCGAAGCCUUGGCUCCUCUGGGAUAUGGGAAGGGUCACAGAAGAGAUGGGGCAGAAGAGUGUGUGGCCUGUGGCAGAGAUGGCAGCACACAGGAUACUAUUUCGAUGGAGUCAAGAGUUUUCCAAAACUGAAAAUAACCAGAGAAGCACACGACAGAAGGUUCCAGGUGCAUAGCACAGCCUUGUCUAUGUGCUGUGUGCCUCCAGGCAAGUCACAAUUCCUCUCUGAUCCCUAAUAGCCCACCCACCAGUAGGAAGUUGCAUUAAAUAAUCUCAGUGUGGGAGUGAAAAUAUUAGAAACAGGAAAAGAACCAUUUGUCUUUGUUUCCUUUUUAUGAGUUGUGUUUCAGAUCAGCCAGGCUGGUGUUCCUAUUUAUUUCAGAGGCCGCUCAACCAAAAAUUGCUGUUUUCAUGGCUCUCAGUUUUGAUUUCCGAUGCUAAACAGAAAAACCACGACCCCAAACUUCCUAGACUGUUGGCUGUGGCUGUUGUACACAUUUUCCAGUGGUGUGGGUAGAUCGUAGUGAAACAAGGGACAAACGCCUGCUCGGUUCUGAAGGAUAUCAGGAAAGAAAUGCUUAAAUGAGUAAAUGAUGCAGCGACUGGGGGAUCAACAGACCACACGGUCUAACUUGGUUUCUCUUUAAAAGUGGAGGAGAGCUAGGAAAAAUAUCAAGGUUGUCUUCUCCUAAACACAGUCCCCAGCCAGCCUGAUUUUGAAGCACGGCAUUGGGCGAUACUGUGCUCCAUAUGCUUCUCAGCUCACAGGGACCACUGAUGCUGGUUCUGGGGUUUGGAGCAGUAGGGCUGAGGGGAUCGGUUGGCCUUUACAAAGGGACAAGGACAACAUUCCAUUUAUGAACAAACCCCUUUCACUGUAGGCCUAGAAGGUCACGGAGGGUGUGCACAGGGUGAAUGGGGUGGGGGUGAGGGUUCUCUGUCACUGUCCCCCUGGAAGUCAGUAGGCCUGUCAUGCCAGCAGUUAGUCAAAGAUGCACGAGAGUGAUGGGGCUGUGGCAGUCCUGACAGACCAUGGGCAAGAUCACAGGUCUCGGCUCAGCCACCAGGAUGAACAGGUAGUGAGGGCUGCCCUGCAAGGCUCGCUGACAGGUGCUGUGUGGUACACUGGCUCCUUAGCCUGAAGACUCCAAAAGUAUGACGUGUCCUUCUGUGGUGAUGAGGAUGGGAUUUAGUCACAAAGUCACUGCAUCUAUCUGGAAUUCCAGAUGAGCUUUGGGACAUGAUGGCGGGACCCCUCUCAGUUAGUUUGGCUGCGGCACCUCCAGCACAGAUCAAAUCCAGCUACCUCAGCCACACAGCUGACCGUCCUAGAUAAAUGGCCACAUUUUCUGCUCCAUAGCAAGACAUAGGUUCAGACAGACAACUCAUGGGAAUGACAAAGCAGUAUGGUAUGUUACCAAAAUGGAACGGGGAGAAGGCAUCAGAAAACAGUAUCAGUUCAGCUUUUCUUUUUAAUUGCUGUGUAGCUGAACAUAGAAGUUCAUGCUGUAAUCCCAGCACUUAGUAAGCUAAGAGAGCAGAAUUAGCACAACUUGGAGGCCAGCCUGGGUUGCAUAGAAAAACCCUGUCUCAAGUGAAACAGAAAACAGCCACCCAGCGCAGCUUCCUGGGUGGCUACAUGAGGAAACAACGAGUCAUUUCAUGGGUGCAACUGCCCAUCUCAUCUGAGCAGCAGAUCUGGAAACAGGCUGGAGCUAGAAAUACAGACGGAGCCCUUUGGUUCAGCCUGAGAUCCCUUCUCUGCUGUAGACUUUCGACUUUCGGGAUUAUAACAUGGUUCACGUGGAUAAAGGAGGGACUAGAGCUUCUGAAAGCAUAUUCCGCCUAUGGGACCACUCACUGCUCUUUGUAUUCAAAACACCAUCUUCCCGGAAAAACAAAGCUGGACCCUACCGGUUUGGGAGUCUGAUGCAGUGGACCCCCCAAGAACACUAAGCAAAGCUGUCAUUUACUUGUAUGGUCUUGAAUAUAAAUGUAAGUGGGGAUUAUACUGCCCCUCACACAUUAGUCCCUCCCUUCAGGUUUUUGAAGAUGAAAUGAGAUUCUGAUUGUGAAAGUACUUUAUUAGCCAGAUGUGUUUACAUACGAGCAAGUAGGUGUUGAGUGGUACCUAUGCUUUUUGUUCUUUUUUGAUGUUUGUUGUGCUUUCUGCCUAGCCAGAAGUGUCAGCUCGCCUCUGGAAACCUGGGACUUAGGUGCUGGUUCUACCAGCUCCAAAGGGCUGAAUCAGGCUCAAGCCCCUUUGUUCUUAUCUAGUCUCAGUUUGUGGCUAGGAUGUUGGCAUGAGGGAUUAACCAGUUCCAUGGUAUGACAGGUGAGUCCAGGUACCUGGGAUCCCAUAUUUGGCUUCUGUCUCUCUGCAGUUCUGCAGGGUCCCCUGAUCUCUACUAGGUGCUAACACUUUCCUUCCAAUUCUACCAGCACCUUUACUUUGGGGAGGAAAAUUUCAUUUACAUA
rnacentral:lncRNA from 1 species